GACCGGAUAACGGGGCGCGCGCCGCUACGUCUCUCUCUCUCUCUCUCUCUCUCUCUCUCCACUCGAAAAAGGAACGGGAGCGCGCACGCGACAGGAUGGAUGGGAAGUUUCCCCCUAUCCUGGCGUAACCUCGGAUUCCGGCGACUUCUUUUCACGGCGACGAUGGGGGGAAAAAUGAAGAAAGGGAAGGGAGAGGAGAGGAGGAGGAAAUAAAAGAAAAGAGAGAGAGAGAGAGAGAGACAUGGGCACGGCGAGACGCCGACGAGGCACGCGCCGCUCCCGGCGCCGCGCGCUACUAGUUAAGCUGGUAACCAGGGGGAGCAUGACUAACUAGUUGUGUGGAGGAAAUUAUGGGAUGGAUUGCCAUGGCAACAGACCAGACGUCACAAUCUGGGCAUGUGUGUUCCAUUUUUGUCUCUUUCUUAUUUUCAGACUGGAGGAUUUGGAUAGAGAAGAGGGAGAAAAGGGGGGGAAAUAAAAUUUAUUAUUUAUUUUUAGAAUUAGGGCAGCCAUCUUUCUUUUAAUUUCUAUAUAUAUUUAUAUAUAUAUAUACACACAUAUAAAAAUAAUAAACCGGUCGUGUUAUUUUAUUUUGUGCACACCGGUAUUCUGAGCGUUAAGUUUCAGUACUUCGGUGAUUUCUUAUUAUUUUUUUGCUUGUUGUUAAGCGGUAAAGAUGCCCGGAUCUCUGAGCAAUGAAGACGAGGGACAAGACGACAUGGAUUUUGAAGACGAGAUGCCAGAUGAGGAUGAGGAGGGCGAUUGCGAGAGCAGACCCCUUUCGCCACUGGAGAGGUUCUUCUCAGAGGAAGAGUCCAUCAAGCAGCAACAGCAGCAGCAGCAGCAGCAGCAGCAGCAGAAGAAGAAGAAACCUGCCAAGGUGAAAGAAGCAAAGCUGCCCAAAGUCAAGAAGAAGAAGAAGGUAGAAAUCCUGUGUUUCUUAAUGCAUAAUCGGGCCAUUUUCAGCUGAUUAAUGUUGUUUGCUGUUCAUUCAUUCAGUGUUAAUUUAGGAAAUGUU
rnacentral:lncRNA from 1 species